CCUCCUAUAGCUUAGUGGUAAAGCACCCGCCUCUUAAGCGGUGUACCUAGGUUCGAUUCCUAGUGGGAGGACAA
rnacentral:tRNA from 1 species